rnacentral:lncRNA from 1 species
ACUUGGCGGCCAUGGCAGCUGUAGUAUUGGCGACUCAGGGUCAGGGCCUGGCUGAGGGAAGUACCAUGGGUAGCACCGGGUGUAGGGCAGAGACAGCAUCGUGUCGACUUUGCUGUUGAAUCCUCCGACCCAAGUGAGAGACUUGCAGGACAUCUUGCCCGACUCUAGACUCGGAAGCACAAUUUCUCCAUCUGUGACCGACCGGAAUCUCAGUGGCUGGCAACCGAGUACCUAAGAUUGCGCGAAGUUUUCUCUGGUGCUAGAGUCAGCAGAAGGAGCUUGCUUCUUAAGAGAGUGGCGUGCUUCGAGAACACCCCGGCUGGUGGCAAGGCUGAAAGAAGUGGGCAAAUUCCCGUUUGCUUGGAAGACCACGCGUUUAAACAGCCUAAGCGCCUUUCGAAACUGCUGGAAUCUUAAAGCCUGGUGGUAGAGGGUGACUACGGGAGGGCAGAAUGGAUGACUUUCUCUCCAUUAGUCUGCUGUCUGUGGCAAUGUUGGUGGGAUGUUACGUGGCCGGAAUCAUUCCUUUGGCUGUUAAUUUCUCAGAGACAGGGUUUCUCUGGGUAGCCCUGGCUGUCCCAAAGUCACUCUGUGGACCAGGCUGGCUUCAAAUUCACAGGAGUUCCCCAGUUUCUGCCUCCUUAGAGCUGGGAUUAAAGGUGUGCACCUUUGUACUUCUCUAAAGGAUUUCUCAGAACAGAAAUGAAGUCAGUUGACAGUUGGAGCCAUCAACUCUUACAGCAUCAGUGUUAGAAAUGAUCUGACCUCUAAACCGGGUAUGGCAUGAUUUCUCUUCACUUUCUCCCCACCUGAGAACCACCUUUCUUUGUGGAUGGCUUUUUUUUUUUAACCUUUAGGCCUGGAAACUGUACCUUCAUGAAUUUUUGAUUUGUGAAACAAAGAAGAAAAUCCUUAAUUGUCAAAAUCAAUUGUAUAUAACUAUGGUAAUAAAGAUGCUAAUUUCUCAGC